rnacentral:misc_RNA from 1 species
AGCAGCCGCGGUAAUUCCAGCUCCAAUAGCGUAUAUUAAAGUUGUUGCAGUUAAAAAGCUCGUAGUUGAAUUUCGGGAUCAAUACGUUGGUCGUGCUUUCGGGUAUGUACUGGCGUCAUUGGUUUCUCUCUUCUGACGAACCAUGAUGUCAUUAAUUUGGUGUUAUGGGGAGUUAGGACUGUUACUUUGAAAAAAUUAGAGUGUUUAAAGCAGGCAUUAGCUUGAAUACAUUAGCAUGGAAUAAUGAAAUAGGACGUUUGAUCCUAUUUUGUUGGUUUCUAGGAUCGACGUAAUGAUUAAUAGGGAUAGUUGGGGGGCAUUAGUAUUCAAUUGUCAGAGGUGAAAUUCUUGGAUUUAUUGAAGACUAACUACUGCGAAAGCAUUUGCCAAGGAUGUUUCCAUUAAUCAAGAAACGAAAGUUAGGGGAUCGAAGACGAUCAGAUACCGUCGUAGUCUUAACCAUAAACUAUGCCGACUAGGGAUCGGAUGAUGUUAAUUUUUUUCAAUGACUCAUUCGGCG